UUUAAGGGCUGGCAGCUGAGAGAAGAUUGCCUUCUUUUGGGGUUUUCUAGCAUGUUUUUAUCUUCAAAAGAGGGUCCAGACUGGAUUUUUUUGCCAUACCCCAGUUAUGAGCAGGCAAAUAUCUUCCAGAAGAUAAAUUUAAGAGGUCCAUGAUACUUACAGAUACAUCAUGCUGUGUUGUUGAGUGAAGGCUGCAGUUUCAUUUUGCUGUGGACCAAAAAGAUGCAGAACCUAACUACUAUCGGUGACCCAGAGAGUAGGACUAGAGACUAAAUGUAUCUUUAUUAUAUUCCUCUGAGUUCCUAUGAAGUCGAAAGGAAGACAAAACAGGGAAAGAAGCUAUGCACUCAGGUUUCAGAGAAAGAUUCUUACUAAUAUUAACAUGUAAUCAUAAGGAGCUAGAAACUCAAAUUUUCCACGGGUUCAUCAAUAACAUUACACAUUUUGACUGAAUCCAAAGAUCAGAGAGUUAAACCACAUAACUCAAUUCAGAACUGCAUUAGGAAGUUUGGAUUUGUAAUGAAAUAGAGUUGUAAAUGAAAUUUUUAUUUACCAAACUGUGUUGAAGUCUGGAGAAGAAUUGCAGUUGAAUUCAGUUAAUCUGGUUUACAAGGAUUGGAGAGUUAUUUUUUGUUCUUGUUUUUUAAGAUCGACUACUAUGAAAGAGAAAUGAGAGAAAUCUACUUUUCAAAUGACUUUUCAUUGAAAAUCUAGCACCAAAUAAAAAAGUGCUAUGGAAAAUGUUGGAUUUGAAUUUCCUUCCUCAACUAAUCACUGCACAAAGCCACUUGAGAAUUUGAAAUGUAGGAUGGAUGAGCAGGUUAGGAAUGAGUAAGAGAAUGAAAAAAUAACUCCCAUCCUCAUGGGAGAGAGCAGGUCUUCUGCUUCAAUGUGACAAUACUGUACUGUUAAGAACUCUAAUUCUAAAUGCUGCCCAAACCAUUGCUGUUAUUGUUUUGAGUACGUUAUUUUAGCCUAAAAGUCAGCAGUGUUUCCAAGAACAUGGUUUAUUGCAUGAUGGGAUUUUUUUUAGAGAAAUAUGGGUAACUGUGAGAAAUUGCUCAAAAUUUCCAUGUAAUGUUAUGAGAUCUCUAUUAACAUAUCUAAGUAUUCAAUUUGUCUUAAGAUUUGCAGUGUCUGUCAGUAAGAAAUAUUUUAUGUAUGUUUAUUAUAUGUAUGCAUAAUGCUUAAAGAGUAAAGGGAACUACUCAUCAGAUCAGCCAGCUGUACCUCAGACACCUACAUUAAAUGCAAUUUGCAAACAGAGCAGGUCCAUUUGUUCCCUUAAACUUAUGGCUUUGUGGCUGUUAUUCAUCUAAAUGUUUACAGUUCUUUCAAAGAUGAUAUUACAGAAAUGUCUCCAUUAUCUUAGAAGAUUGUUCAUCAGAAUCUUUGUUCUAGGAAAAGUCUAACAAGGGCUGUUAUAGGAAACUUUCCUCAGCAGUUCAUUGAAAUACAUUGUUAUUUGUAUUUAUGUCAGGCCCUCUCUGUCAGAGGUAGCACGUUAGAGUAGUUGGGUUUCCAUUUUGAUUCAUUUUGGCAGAUACUGUAGUAUCUACACAUAUAUUUCACUCUCAUUUACAUGAAAAUUACAUAUGUACACUUAAAAAUAAGUAGGCAAUAGCUACUUGAUUAUUUAAGUUUGUGUUUUGUUCAGAGAUCAGCCUUGGAAAUAAAAGCAAAUUACACUUCUGUUCAGGUAACUUACUUUUUUAAUGUGCUGGCAAAGACCUGAGAUACAUUUGGGUUGCAGUAAUGAUGAUUGUUUCCUUGAAUUCGAGUAAAAAUGUUUCAAUGUAGAAUGGAUUUUAUACAAAUGCUGAAAAGCAGUAUUAAUGCACAUAGAAAUAUAACCCUCAUACUCAGGGGAAUCUGGGUAACUGUUAGAAAAUAUGAAAAAUGUUGAUCUGCCAAGUAUAACACAACAAACAAACUAUGAACACCUUCAAAAAUCUAAAUGAGGAAAACUACAAGUUGACAAUCUAUAUGUAUGUUUAUCUGUGGUAUUUCUCUUUUAAUUUAGCCAUUUCUUCCUUCAACAUCAAAAUUUUCUGAGAAAAAUGAGUUUUCUUACCAAAUCGUUACUCUUGUGGCACUGUUUUCUUUCACACUGUAUUUUUAUAACAAAGCUCUUGGGGAUGAAGAGUUCAACUUCCAUAACAUCAAGAAAAUAGCAGGCAUAGACACAAGCAACAUUCUUGAAAGCCUGAAGAAUGCAGCUGCUAAUUAUACCUUACUUAAUGUGUUUGAAAGAGGCUAAAAAUCCAUUAACAGUCAGAACUUCAUUUUCUCAUACAAUCUUCUUUGAAAGGAAACUAUGAGCAAAUAGAGUUGCUAAGAGGUCUCCUGGGAUCAAAUCUUUGAUGGUUUAUUGAUCUCAUUUGAUGCUUUUAGAAUCAUUAAAAGUCACCUUUCUUUUGUCAUUCAGUCCUAGGGAGUAAAUUGAACAUUAUGUUCGUGUAGGUCAUUGAGUACUUUUUACAGUAGUUUAUUCAAGCAAAUGGAGCAGCGUGCUCCUACUAACUGACUGGCAAGAUUAGGAUAUCAGAGAAGAACAAAGAUUGUUAAAGAGAAACAAAGCACCAAUUUGCUUUGUAAUAGGCUGCUCUUGAAAAGCAAAAGAUUCAAUUACUUAAGAAAGCGAAGUGUCUGGGGGGCAUGGAUUUUUGUAUCUGCUUCUUUGUGGAAGACCUUGUCUAAAGCAAAUUCUUAUAGUAAAAACCACAUUUUUUUUUCUGUGCUAAGGGAACCAAAAAAAAACCUAACAAUAAACAACAACAGCAACGUUCUUUCAUCGUCUCCAGGCAAUUAACUGUUAAAAAAAAAAACAAACAUGUGUUUCCAAUAAAACUUUAAAUGAAGAGAUUAUUCUGAGAAAAUGAGAGCAAAUACCAGCAGAAAAAAGUGUCUUCUCUUGGGAGGAGCUCCACUAUGUGUAGUAUUGAAUACAGCUUAAGACAGCUGCUAAAUUAAGACACCUUUAUUAAAAAACAGACACAAGAAAAGACCCUGCAUCCAGAUUAAGUUUUUUUCUCUCUUAUGAAGCAGGAAAAUAUUAUUGUUUUGCUUAUAAUUAUGUUGCUAGCCAAAAAACCAAAAGUCACCAAAAAGGACUUACCUUCUGUAGUACUAGGCAGUAAAUGGGUGACAAGGAUGGUUCCCACUCAUCCACAGGCUCUGCUGUUAUACUGAAUUACAGCACCCAGUGGGAACUUCUUUUUGGUUGCAAAACAAAUCAGUUUUCUCAUGGUUAAUUUAACAGGUAGCUGCCAAUUGCAUCUGCCUGUUUUACCCCUCUAAUUUAAGAGCAUUUAAACUGUCCAGCUGAAUGACUCUCCCUUCAUUAGAGUGUAAGCAAGGCACAUAACCUGUCAUCUACAUUACUGAAAGCAGUCAUGAUCUUCAUUUGUGUUGUAAUACAAUCUACUUUCUCUGGUUGUCACCUUUUCCAGUAAAGAAGACUCUGGCUUAGCAGUGCUGUUAGGUACGGGUAGAGGUAAUAAACCUAUUUCCUGGCAUGUUGAAUUCAUCCUGUAUAACCCAGCAAUUAUUAGAGCCUUAUUAACUUCUCCUCUCAGCUUUAAAAUAUGGAUUCAGAUGAAGCUUUAGCAGUUCACUUUGUGAGCUCUAGAGGACGCCACAUCUAUUAAAACCAUUUGUCCCUACCUCUAUUUAGAUGUGCUUCUUAUUUCUGUGUAUACAACUGGGUGAAGUAUAUGUAUGAGGGUUCAUUUGUUGGAAAGAAAACAGCCAACCUCUGAUCCAAGGAUUUCUUACAUUCCAUUUCUCAUUUGCUAUUUGAAGUCAUUUUCUGAAGAUUAUAUUUCUUGCUUCCAGGCACCCUCAUUGAAUAUAUGUGGCUUUCAGCCAAACCUCUUAUCAGCCCUGCUUCCCACUCUUACUUUGGAGAAGUUAAUAAUAAUAUUCAGAUUUCCUUUUUUUUUUUCUGUCUAUAGUGACCUAAUCUGUGUUUGACUUCCGAAUUUAGGAAUGCAUGAAUUCUUUGGCACAUUGAACAGAACAGAUGAAACUCCCCUCUUGGAAAGUACACUGUGUUUCAUUCAUGUAUUCCUUCAACUGAAGUGACCGGUGAUUUAAUUAUGUCACUCUACAGUGUCAUAGUGGUAUACAUCAAGCAGAUAUGCUGUUGUUGUUUUUUUUAAUAAAUGUUCUAAUGCAUGAAAAAAGUUCAA